GACGAACGCUAGUGGCGUGCCUAAUACAUGCAAGUCGAACGAGAAAGUUUCUUCGGAAACAAGUACAGUGGCGCACGGGUGAGUAAUAUGUAGAUAAUCUGCCCCCAAGUUCGGAACAACCAGCCGAAAGGUUGGCUAAUACCGGAUAAGACCACACUAUCUGCGGAUAGAGAGGUUAAAGAUUUAUCGCUUGGGGAUGAGUCUACAUCCGAUUAGCUUGUUGGUGAGGUAAAAGCUCACCAAGGCUGUGAUCGGUAGCUGGUCUAAGAGGAUGUCCAGCCACACUGGAACUGAGACACGGUCCAGACUUCUACGGAAGGCAGCAGUAGGGAAUUUUGCGCAAUGGAGGAAACUCUGACGCAGCAACGCCACGUGAGUGAUGAAGGCCUCGGGUUGUAAAACUCUGUUCUUGGGAAAUAAAAAAUAGAAGGU
rnacentral:rRNA from 1 species